rnacentral:lncRNA from 1 species
CCCACCACUUUUAUUGUUUUGCUUUUUUUAAUUUCAUUGCUAUUUAAAUUCAAAAGCCAUAACAUUAUUAUUAUUAUUGUUAUAUUUAACAUAGCAUUAUUAUUAUUAUUGCUAUAUUUCCCAUUCCAAGCCUUGCAUGUUCGAUACAAUAAAUUCCUCUUCCAUUUGAGCCGCUGGUCAUUGACUCGUUGCCCAUUUGUCCAUUAAAACCUGAGCUUGAGUCAGAAUCAUAUUUGGGUUUAACUAUUGGGUUCUUCAGUUUUAGCCCAUUUACCCAUUUCCUGGUUUCCAGUUUUACUUUUUAAAUUUUUAUUCACUAUCUAAUGGUUUUAGGUUCUACUUGGGUGACAUAUCAUUUAUUCAGUUAGGCCCUUCAGAUUCAGCCCACUCAUUCUUAAAUGGUUCCGACUUUCUGCUGGUCACUCCUUACCAUAUUGGGUUUGGACCUAUUUGUGAUUUAGGUAAAGCCCAAUAGGGAGACCUAAUCUCGGCCCACCUGAGUUACAUCUUCGCUACCACACUUAACCCUAGCUUCCAAUUGAAAUCUCUCUAAUUGCGUAUUACUUGUUCAUUCAGUAGGUAUGCAUGCUAAAUAUGGAAUCAGAUAAUCCCCUUUCUUUUUUUUUUUUACACUCUUAAUAUUUUUUGGCACAAAAACUCAAUUCCAUGAUCUAGAUUGCACUAAAUCGCAGUUAGAUUAAAGAGUUAAACGAAUCUUACCCUUCUCCGAUUAUACUGAUGGAAAUUGAUUCGCAACGGUGAUAUUUAUCUUCUUGAGUUGCACAAGCACACACACAACAACACUGUGUUGUUGCAAAACCAAAUCUAAACGGGAUAUACAUGUUUUGGGUUCCGGUAUGGGAAAGAGAAAAGACAUACUCACCUCUCAUCGCGCUGAUGUUCACUAGAUUUAGAAGAGCUCUUUGGCUCCGUCCUUUCCCUUCGCCAUUGCUCUCUCUCUCUCUCUCUCUCUCUCUUCACUUCUCUACUCAAAUGGAGGCUAGGGUUUUUUUUUAUGGGGUUAAAAGGGCAGGUUUUACAUGGGGUUCUGGGUGACUUUGGGCCAUUGGAUCCUAAGAUCAAAUUUUCACCGUCCGAUUUUUCAGGGUGUUACAGUUAAUGUCGUAAUUUCU